ACUCUAGAUGGCGUGGAUGUGCGGCUAUAAUGGAGAUUUUGAGUGACAAGUUAAACGUAAGUUUGUUACGUUAUCCUGUUAUGUGUUUCAAAGGAUUUUUCAUCAAAAAAUUUACGAUUGCUUUUUGUAUGUGGUGGUGUUUCGCCUUGUCAGCUAUGCCAGCUGCUGAACCAGCAGCCUGCAUUCCUGCUAUCAAUGUACAAUAAGGGAUCCUGGCACUUUAAGAAGGCCACUAUUCCUUAGAUAAAGAUCACCAUCCAGUUCAAUCAACGACAGAGUCUUCAUCUACUUUGUGUUGCUAACCAUCAGCCUUCAGCAUCCCAGGUCUCCAGAUUUCCAAGUUUCUCUGAUUAGCAAAAUACCCGUCAGCUCUUCAUUGUGGCUUCUCUUCCUCUCUUCUUAGUCUGCUGAAUGCCAACAUUGAAUAAGGUUCAUCAUCAUUGCCUUUCCAUGUUCUUCUCACCGUUACUUAGCCAGCUCACAUGGAUAGGCUUUAAUAACAUCUCCAUUUUUUGGACUGCAAAUAUUCAUGUUCGUUCGGUACAACACUGCCGUUUUGACAAUUUCGGUAGUUUCGCCCCCAGUGGACCACACGCAACUACAUUUUCUUCGUCUUCCUGCCGUUGUUGUCAACGACUUCACCUCAUCGCUAUCUUCGUUGACAUCUUCGCCUUCAUCUCUGUCUCGUCGUCUUGGUCGUCUUCAUCUUCGUCUCGUCGUUUUGGUCGUCUUCGCCUUCAUCUCUGUCUCGUCGUCUUGGUCGUCUUCCCCUUCAUCUCCGUCUCGUCGUUUUGGUCGUCUUCGCCUUCAUCUCCGUCUCUCCGUCUCGUCGUCUUCGCUGUCUUUGUUUACGCCAUUACCUCGUCGCUGGCUUCUCCUUCGCCUUUCCCGUAGGGAAUUCAUCGUGGAUCGUCGCUCUGGUACUGUUUUAUUUUGCAUUGUUAUGUUUAAGUUAACCCGUUGGCUGCCACCCCGUUUGCGUCCCAUUUUUUUGUAGCUUGUAGGGACCGGCCGCAAUGGCCUUCGCCGCAAGGCGCUUUAGGCAAUGCACCAGUAGGGACUUCUCUUUGUCGAUGCGGUGGCGGAUUCCUGAGGGUGUGCAUUCCCUGUAAUGGAUUCCGUCGCCGUGUCAACCCGGACUUGUCUUCGGACAAGUCCCACCUUGUUCGCGAUCCUUAAGACGCGAUGCGUAGCUACUGUAGUUUAAGCAACCUACGGGUUGCGUGGCCUGGCAGCCAACGGGUUAACUUAUAGUUAAGUGUAUGUAUGUUUGUGUAAAUAUAUUUGUGUAUGUAUUGUUAUGUAAAAUAGUGGUGGAA
rnacentral:misc_RNA from 1 species